rnacentral:rRNA from 1 species
GACGUAGGAUGCAAGCGUUGUCCGGAUUUAUUGGGCGUAAAGAGUUCGUAGGCGGUUCGUUAAGUCUGAUGUUAAAGAUCGGGGCCCAACCCUGGGAGUGCAUUGGAUACUGGCGAACUGGAGUGCAGUAGAGGCGAGUGGAAUUCCCAGUGUAGCGGUGAAAUGCGUAGAUAUUGGGAAGAACACCGGUGGCGUAGGCGACUCGCUGGGCUGUAACUGACGCUGAGGAACGAAAGCCAGGGGAGCGAAUGGG